rnacentral:lncRNA from 1 species
AUGCUGAUUUUGUAAAAACAAUUCAUGUGGUGAGGUGUAGAAAUUGUAGAAAUAAAUUCCAUUCUACGGAAUUCAAGUCCUCUAAUGUUCUUCUAUUUUCCUUCUAUCUUGGCAAGUAAUUAUAUAUAUUUCCCAUUUGUUGUAAUUGAACCUUAUUGCAACAUAUUAUUGGGUCAAUGAGUUUAGAGGUUGAUAUUGAAGCUCAGUCUUUACAAAAACGUAAUCUUCAUCAACAUCCCAUCCACCAAUGAAUUCAAAUAUACACUGUCAAAUAUAAAAAUAAAAUGACAGAGAAAUCACAUAUAUGUUACCUUCUUUUUACUUAC